UACAAAACAAAGAAAAAAGGAAAAACAGAAUGAAGCUUACAUCGCAUAAAUGUAAGCAAGAUUAUUUAUUUAUUGAGAUACAGAUACAAAUUUAUUAUGGAGCUUCAGUUUUGAGGCUCGGUUUCAGGCUCCGUAUCAACAGCCUCACCAGCGUAAGUGCAGCACCUGCAGCCUCCAUGAUAACCAUGUCCACAGCAACCGUAGCGGCAGUGGCCACCGCCAUGGCCCCCACCACCGCCAUAGCCCCCACCACCGCCAUAGCCCCCACCACCUCCAUAGCCACCACGGCCACCGCCGUUAUAACCUCCACGGCCACCGCGGUUAUAACCUCCACGGCCGUCCUCAAUUUCAUGUGUCUCUGUGGCCUUAUCAGCUGCAUGUGUAUUUACAACGUGUUACAUAAUAAUAUUAGUAAUGAUUAAUGUUAAUAUUUAUUUAUCUUGAUAUUAUUUAUUUUGAAGAAUAAUAAACACACGUUAAAUAUGUUGUUUAUCUAAUAUCCCUAUGGCUUAUUAUGAUUAGAUAUUUUAAUAUAAUGUGCAAAAAAAAAAUCCAUGAAUGAAACAUAAUAGUUAAUUACAAUUAACUCAGUGUUAUCAAAGUGCAGAUUUGAGACUAAAUAGUGCUAUUUAGUUAGAAUACUUCAUUAAAUUAUUAUAAAAUUUCAAAUUUGUAUUUUAAAAUAUGUUUUUAUAAACUAGACAACCGUUUGUUAUAUAAGCUCACCCUUUUCGUUGUGAUCAAUGGAAGUCUCGGCCAGGUCUCUGGCUGCUACCUCGGAAGAGAUAAGAAGAGCAAUGGCCAUUAAAAGGCCUAAAAGAAGGAACAAUUUGGAACCCAUUUUUCUUUUUCUUGCUUGAGAAAACUAUCAAUGAAGGAUUGGAGAAGGAUGAUGAAAUUUGCAUUCUCAUGUUCUCUAUUUAUAGUGGGAGGGCUCAUCAGGAAGAGUAUGAUGAAUUUAUGAGUCAUGACCCACAGUUAGUUGGCUGUUGAAGAUCUACUUGUAGAAAUUAUUCAAUCUUUUUAAUUGAAUUUGUCAGUACUGGAAAAUCUAAUGUUUUCACCUACUCUCAAGUAAAAGAACGAGGUCCAUUAAUUAUGUCGGCCAAUGGAUUCAUACUAAUACUUGGUCCAGAAGUGGCCAAGUGUUUAUUAGGAAAAACAUUUCAUAUUAAUCGAAAAUAAUUAUUAAAUUAAAAAAUUAUUAAUUUUUAAAUUAAUUUUUGAGUAUAAAUUUGUUACAUACACUUUUACGACACUUUUAACUAAUAGUUUUUUAUUUUUAUUUUUUUAAAAAUCACGUAAGUAUUUAAUAUAAUUACAUUUUCAAGAUUUAAAUAAAAAAUUUUAAUUAAAUUAAAAUAAUCUUUUACCAAUUGAUUUACGCGCGUAUUAAUAACUAGUAGUUGUUCGUUUUAAAACAUGGCACAAUGUCUCUGUAACUCUUUCAUCAGUGUUGGACCCAUAGUCACCACUUGUUAUUGGACACUAGUAGUACGGAAAAUGUCGUCUUUACAAUGCGAUGAUUUUAAGAGGCAAGAUUCAAUCCAAGCCGUGAAUUGGGGAUGAAGCCACCCUGUCAUGAUAAUUGCGACGGGUAAUUUUUAAAACUUCCUUUUGAGUUUUGGACUUACUAUAAGUAGAUAGUAAAAAUUUAUUUAUUUGUAAAAAAUCUCUUACCAUCAGUUAAUUUUAACAUUGACCGUUAGUUAACUGUGCAAAGAUAAUAUUACCCUUAAUAAUAGUUUACAGACAAAAAUAACUAAAAAAAAACUAAAAUUAUUGGUUAUUUUACCCUUUUUAAAUUAUUGAUAUUUUCUUAAAGUUCUUAUAAAAAAGAUAAAAUUAAAAACUUAAAAAAUCAUCUUUAAAUUAUUGAUAUUUCCUUAAAGUUCUUACAAAAAAGAUAAAAUUAAAAACUUGAAAAUGAAAUAGUCAUAAUCUUUACCUAUGAUAUUGUAAAUCUUUGGAAUUGACAAGGAUAAAAUUAUCAAAAAAUAAGAUUUGUGCUUUUCGCGUUAAUAAUUUUAAUUUUUUUUAGUCAGUCUAUAAACUAUUAUUAAGGGUAAUAUUGUCUUUGCACAGUCAACUAACGGUCAAUGUUAAAAUUAAUUGACGGUAUGAGAUUUUUUAUAAAUAAAUAGAUUUUUACUAUCUACUUGCAACAAAUCCAAACCUCAAAAGAAAUUUUUAAAAAUUACCCUAAUUGCGACCCCAUAUGCGCGACCUGUUAAUGUCAGUCACCCACUUGUACAGUUCUUCUCAUCACAAUUGACUUUAAAGCCACGGCGUCUACAGUCUGGAUAGGAUAGAGCUAAUUUAACUAGAGAACGCGAUGAGUUCAAUAAUGCCGAUUUCGUGUCAUGUUUCAUUCUUCAUGGCAUUUCGUUAUUAAUAGGGGCGGCUCAACCUUUAGCAGACUUCAAGCAAAUUGUUUUAAUUAUGCCAGCUUAAAAAUUUAAGAUAAAAUAUAUACAUUAAUUUUAUUAUAAAAGUUAUCAUUUCAAAUCAAUUUUUUUAUAUUUUUAAGUUAUAAAAUUAUUAAUUUUCUUUUUAAAUUUUACUAACAUAUCUUUCUCAAAUGAUAACGUACUAUAGCCUAUCUUAAAUAAGUUUUUGACAAUUUAGUUUUGAAAAUUUUUAUUUUUUUUGCAAAAGUAUUUUUAUCAAUAUUAUAAACAAUUUCCUAUGAAAAAAGUACACAAUUAUUUUAGAAAAAUAAAAACAACACCCAAUGAACAUAGUAAUAUUUUUCAUAAAGGAAUCAGACAACUAAAUAACAAACUAAGUAAGAGGAAAAUGUAAAGGUAAAAUUUAAAAAUUUGAGACAAAAUCAUUAAUUAAACUUUAAUGGUUUUUGGUGUUAAGCAUUAACCAAUGACCAUGAAAAGAAAAAAAAUAAACGUUUGAUUUUUUUUGUAAAACAUUAUUACUAGAAUUAGAAACAACAACUGAUGAAAAAGCAUACAGUUAUUGCAAAAAUUUAAAACACAACACCCGAUGAAUACAAGAAUAUUUUCAUAAAGAAAUAAGACAACUCAACAACAAAAUUAAUUAAAAAUAGAGUAGAAAGAUAAAACCUGAAAAUUUAAUAUGAAAUCACAAACUAAGUUUGAUGAUUUGAGGUUUUAUGACUAUAGAAAAUAUAAAAAAAUAAACUGUUAAUUCUUUUUCUAGUAAUGCAUUUAUGGUAUCAUUGUUUUAGGAGAAAAUAUUGCUAACAGGUAAGUUCGUAAAUGUAGGUUUUUUUAAAAAAAAAUAGAGGUAGGAAUUAACAAUGUUUUAAUUAAAAUUUAUUAAUUUAACGUUACACAGAAAUUUUAUAGGAAUUAAAACUAUUAAUUCUAGAGAGAAUUUAUUGGAAUUUUGAUAAUUCAUUUAAGAAAAGAUAAUUAUGAAGCACUAAUAAAAUAAACUAAUCAUGAUUGAGUUAGUUAGAACUUAGAAAUUUAUAUAUUUUUACUAUAAAAUAAUAGAUUUAAAAUAAAUAUAAAGCCUUAAUCUAUAAUAGGGUCUUAGUCAACCGUCUAGUUGUCUAGAGAAAAAGCCACUCCUAUAUAAUUAUCAAGUGCAGAUGCCUACAUUUUUUUUUAAUGUGAACACGCUCUUAAACUAUGCGGUUUAAAAAAAUUAAAAAUAAAUUCUCUUAAAUUCCACAAUUUAAUAUCGUGUUUACACAUAAAAAAAAAAAAAGAGCGUCCAUACUAGAGAAAGAGUCAAAGAGUAAUAGUGUGUGUGUGUGUGCGUGUGUGUAUUGGGGAUAAUUUAAUUAUUGAGAAAUUAAGGUGGCGUUUGUUUUUUAACUUAAUGACUUAAAGUGACUUAACUUAAUUAAUUAAGUUAAUUAGAGGUGUUUGUUUUUAUAACUUAAUGAGACUUUUUAGAUAAUUUUGACUUAAUAAAAUAAGCCAAUUUUUUUAGCUUUUUACUUAAUGGAGAAAUCUGAAUUAAGUCAAUUACUUGUUAAUAUCAAAAAUAUCCUUGCUUUAUAAUUUAUUUUUCAUGUCUAUCCCAAACUCACCCAUAGACAUUUACCCCACAUAAAAAUAUCCAUAUUUUUUCUUUCUUAUAUUAUAUACGAUAAAAUUUAAAAUUUAUGAUAUUUUAUAUAUUAAAAUUCUAAAAUAAUUAUGUAUUCACUUGAAUAUAGUUUUGCUUAUAAAUGUUAAAAUAUUGUGGUAUUUAAUAUAUUAUUUAUUUGACAUUCAAAUUUAAUAAGGAUACAAAUGUAAAAGUACAUAUUUUUAACUUUUUAAGUUGAAAAAAAAAUAAUUUAAUACUUAUUUUUUGAGAUUUAGACGAAAAAAUAAAUAUAUUAUUCAGACUCAAACAUUCAGAUUUAUUCAGAAUUCAAACUAAUUCAGGUUUAUUCAGAUUUUAGACAAAAAAAUAAACGCCACCUAAAUCAGAACCAAAAUCUCUAAUUUCGGAAGCUAAUAAUAAUUGGUUAACUGAUUUGAUAGUUAAAGAUUUGCAAGUAGUGAAAUGUAACGUUUAUUAAUUAAUUUUUUGAUUUAACAUUUAUUCGAUCAAAGUCAUCUUAUGCUUUAGUUGAUUAUCUGAUCUAAUAUUUGUGUGUGAUAGUUGAUCUAAUCGUACGUGUGUAAUCAGUUGAUGUCGAAGGCAAUACUUGGAUAUAUUAGCUGGAGAUAAGAUCAUCGAUCCUUAUGUCGUUUAGCACGAAAAUGAAGUGCACAGCAUAUCCAAACAUGCUCCUUUUGAUUAGACUUUUCACAUUUUCAUGAUCCUCCGACAUCUAAUCGCAUUGAUUUUAGCUAAAUGAGGUGGCUACUUUUCUUUUUUCUUGUUUCCAAAGAGUGAAGAAGAUUCUGACAAUGCCGCACCCAUCAUAUUAAUUGGUACUUUAAAAACAAAGGCCCUAAGGUAUUUUGACGCUUAAUCCACUAUAUUAAUUAAAAUUUUAUGUUAGUUGGUUAAUUGGAAUUACUAAUUGCAUAUUAUCGAAAAAGAAUUAUCAUAAAGUUUUAACAAUCUUUUAGCUUGUAACAUUUUCAAAAUUAAACUGAAGCAUGUAACACUUACGAACGAGUUCUGAAUUAUGGCAAUUAACAGCUACAAGAGUUGGAGUGAGUUUUGAAGAAUAAACAAAGACUAGGAAAUAAAGUCACGGCAGAGAUCAACAUGUGAUAUUUUGGAGUCUUUCCGAAAAUCUGCAGAAAAAAAUAUUAGUAUAAUAUUCAAAAAUUAAAUAAUAACUUAAAAUAUUAUAUAAAAUAAGACAUAUAUGUAAAUAAGAUAAAGUAAUAAAGAUAGUGCUACAUUAGAGAUGCCCUAACGAUGCAAUUUGUGUUAUUGCCCGAUGCAAUUUGGGGAGCUACUGUUUUGGUGUCUGAUCCCAGUGCUGUGAUGGAGGCCAAAAAUGUUUAGCUGCGAUGGAGGCUUGUUUGCGAGAGUUCAAUGGAGGCUUCUUCAAGUGAUGUGGCUGCGAUGGAUGCUUUCUCAAGUGUUCGAAAUGUUUGUUACUUUUUUUCUGCUAUUUGUAUUUUCAAAAUUUUAAAUUUUUGGUGAGACAAAUUUGGUAAUCUUGCGAACGGAAAACUGAUCUCAGUCCUCCUUGCGAAUCACUCUUUCAUUUCUCAUUUACAAAUUGAGAUGGAUCUCAUGAUUUUUAUUUUAAUUUCCAUCUUUACUAGACAUAAUAAACGACAUUAAUAAUUUUAAUUUCUUAAUCUGAGAAGUAUACACACAAUUAGAGAAGUAUACACACAAUUAGAGAUGCAGUUGUUUCAAAUAGCAUCCAGAUAUCUCUUGAGAAUUAAAAUUCAUUAGAAAUUCAAGAGCAAAAUCUUUGUGAACUCAAUAAUAGGUCUAAGAAAAAUCAAAGAGUUGGCUUAAUUAUGAGAGAGAGAUUUUUCCAGCUUGCAGUCUGUAAAACACAGCCCCUUAUAAAAUGAGUGGUUGGCACACCUUUAAUUGCUUGUUGGCCCACCUCUAGUUGUUUCAGCUUGGAUGUACCUUACAUAAACUGUAAGGUAGCAAGACCCGAAAUAUGAUGAGAUACGUUCUUGCUCUGAACAGAAGCGUACGUCAUGUAUGACGCAGAUCGAAAUGACAUUGCUUUUUUGCAUUGACGUUGAAUCCAAUUUCAUUAACUGACGUGGGGACUCCAUGCACGUGAUAACCUGAUGGGACACAAUAUUAUUUAACAUUCUUUGCAUCUUUUUCAAUUUAUCAGCAGCCUUCGCUAUCUAUAAAUAGGGCGAAGCUGCAAUGUUCUUGUCACCGCGUCUCAAGUAACAUCACAGUGAUAAAAUCAAGCUUAGUAACUUCUUCUUCUUAAGAGAAAACAAUGGCUUCAUCUAAGAUCACUUUGUUUUUUUCUUACUUGUUUUCUCUUUGAUCUUGUUCUUUUGCCAUCUCUUCAGAUGAUCACUGAAGUGAGUAAAUCGAUUGGGGGAGAAAAAAAAGUAAUAAUAUAGUUAUAAAUUUUUUUUGUACAAACUGAUAUAUCAUGACUUAAUUGGUUGGAUUAGAUAUCGUUUAGUUCACACAAUUUAUUUUUAAUUAUUUUAUAUUUUUAUUCAACCAAUAAAUUAAUAUCAAAUCAGUUUGUACACAAUAAGUUUGCAUAAGAAUUUGUGGGUGUUGAUGCGAGAUUCUAGUUUUCUGCUCGUCCACGACCAAGAGCUCUCCUCAACUAACUCGUCCAUGACCAGAAUCUCUCCUCGUAAGACUUCCUCUCCGCAGACUCCUGUGUACACAGAGACAGGUCAGAGCACGCUAGGUAUUUUCCCGGCGUAAACCCUCCGACGCUCAAGUCAAAAACGUACGUUUUUCCUUUCUGGGAAACACGGUGAUGGGUGUCGAAGCCAACAAAAAUAAAUUCCUACUCUAAAUAAAUUGUGUAUAGUGAUUGAGUAGGUUCGUGUCCACAGAGAUCGGUAAUUAUUUAAAUCCUUUUGAAACGUAAAACGUAAAAUGGGGGAAUUGUUGACAAUAAUAAAAAUCAAAUUAAAAAUAACAAGAAUGCAAAUUAAAGUUGUAAUUCAAAUUGGAGAAAGCUCUGGUUGAAGGAAUUAACUCAGCUUGAUUCGACUACUGAUCAUUGAUUCAAAUAUAGAUUAUUAUUACUCAUGAAUAGACCGGUUAUAGCUACUGAGACCCUCUAAUAGCCAAUCUCUCCUUAACUAGUCGAUAACCAAGGUACGACCGUUGGUUAUUUCCCUAAUCAAUAGACAACCCUAGAUACGAUCAUAGAAUUUAAUCAAUUGACAGCCUGAAAAACCAGAGAGACCCAAAUCCUAAUCAACACAUAUGAUGAUUCAUUUAAAUUAGAUUCUGCUGUACGGCCAAGGCGGAUGUACGGUACAGCAGUUUACUAGUGCAUAAAUUGCACUCUAACAAAUUCCCCCACACCAAGAUGAUGCUUGUCCUCAAGCAUAUAACUCAAGAUUAAUCCCAAAUCUCCACUCAAUUCUCAUCUCAACUCAUCCAAAAAUAGAAAUUAAGUCGAUCAACAUUCGAGAGACAAGGAUUUUUAAAGCAUAGAAUCUCAUAAGAUAGAAUAAGAACAUUCAACCACCAAGAAGAUCCAUUCAAAAUUCAAGUGCAACAAGAUUUAAUAGCCCUCUCAAUGACUUCACUCCAUGCACUCAAAGUGUUUAGGGUGUCAUUUAUUCACUCAAAUCAAAUCAAAGAAUGCUAUUACCAUAAGCUUGCUCAUAUAUCACAUCUCAAUCCACAAAACAUGAAUAAAAUGCAAAAAUCUAAGGGUCUUAAAAGGGUUGUAAUGGGGUUAAAUAGGUUAAAUGAAAAAGAAAGGUCUAUGAAAGAAAAAGGGAUCAAAAUGAGAAGAAUGAACUCAUUGAAUGAACUUAUGAUAUCAAAAUGCUUAUUUCUACUCAAGUCACCACGAAUGCAAACAUUUCUUUUUCUUUUUCUCUUUUUUUUUUGAUUUUUUUUUCCAAUUUUUCUUUUUCAAUUUUUUUUCUCUUUUUUUUCUUUUCUUUUUCUUUUUUUUUUGUUUGUUUUUUUUUUUUUCGAAUCAAACAAAAGAAACGAACCUUGCACAAUUGAAUUCAAGCAUAAUGCUUGUUGAUCUAAUUGAGAAACUUUAUUACAAGGUAGAAAAAGCAACAAAAUAUAUCCACACAAUGAGUCCAAAAAUCUCCUUAAAUUGAGGCUCAAAAAGAAAAAAAAUGGUUAAGUAGAUGGAGAGAAUUAGAUGGGUAAUGGUUAAGGCUCAAACAAAGGUAGCAAAUAAAGGUCUUCGGGUAAAGAAAAAGGAAAAUGCGAGAAUAGAAAAAUGGUAAAUGGUUUGCCCUUAUCAUUUUAAUGCAUAAAAUCCCGUAAUGUGGCUUCAACAUGCAUAAUAAAGCAAGUUCUAGAAUAAACAAACUAGGAUUGAUAUUCACAUAACAAAAAUAAUUAGAGCAAAGUGGUUGCUCAUAGGCUCAAAUCCUCACAAAGUUGGUAAAUUUGCCAUCAAAUCAUGUACACUCUUCAAAUGAAUCAACCAUCAAUAGUGGUGUAGAAUGAGAAGAAGGUAUGAGUGAAGCAGAAAAGAAAAGGUAAAAAUGAUAAGAAGUGAGAAAGAUGAAAAGUGAAAGAUAAAAUGUGAGUGAUGAAAGAGCAUGAUAGAAUAAAAAUAGAUGUAAAUAAUUUGAGAUAGAUGGGAAAAAAAAAGUAGUGAGAAAGAAAAGAAAAGAUAAAAUAAUAAUAUAUAAAGCAUACUAACUCCAAAAUCAUUUAAGGAUGAGUAGAGUGAAAAAAAAAGAUAAGUAGAGUGAAAACAAUAAUUCCAGACAUCAAUAAUGCAAAAAUCCCUCCCCCACACCAAGAAAUUACAUUGUCCCCAAUGUAAGAUAAUCAAAGCUCACAUAAAAAUUAAAGCGUAAGGAUAAAAGAUUAAAGGCAAAAAGAAACUUCCCUGAAUUNNNNNNNNNNNNNNNNNNNNNNNNNNNNNNNNNNNNNNNNNNNNNNNNNNNNNNNNNNNNNNNNNNNNNNNNNNNNNNNNNNNNNNNNNNNNNNNNNNNNNNNNNNNNNNNNNNNNNNNNNNNNNNNNNNNNNNNNNNNNNNNNNNNNNNNNNNNNNNNNNNNNNNNNNNNNNNNNNNNNNNNNNNNNNNNNNNNNNNNNNNNNNNNNNNNNNNNNNNNNNNNNNNNNNNNNNNNNNNNNNNNNNNNNNNNNNNNNNNNNNNNNNNNNNNNNNNNNNNNNNNNNNNNNNNNNNNNNNNNNNNNNNNNNNNNNNNNNNNNNNNNNNNNNNNNNNNNNNNNNNNNNNNNNNNAAAAAAAAUGAAAGAUAAAAUGUGAGUGAUGAAAGAGUAUGAUAGAAUAAAAUAGAUGUAAAUAAUUUGAGAUAGAUGGGAAAAGAGUAGUGAGAGAGAGAGGAAAAGAAAAUUAAUAAUAUAUGAAGCAUACUAACUCCAAAAUCAUUUAAGGAUGAGUAGAGUGAAAAAAAAGAUAAGUAGAGUGAAAACAAUAAUUCCAGACAUCAAUAAUGCAAAAAUCCCUCCCCCACACCAAUAACUUACAUUGUCCCCAGUGUAAGAUAAUCAAAGCUCACAUAAAAAUUAAAGCGUAACUUCCCUGAAUUGUGAGCUUUGAUCCUCAUAACGUCUAUGGGCUUGGCGGGAAUGGUGGGAUAAAUCCCACACUCUUGAAGUAUGCGGCCAAAUUCUGCUCCAUCUUGUCACGGAUUUCGAUUCACGCGGCUGGAAUGCAGGUCGUAGGCUGGUUGCGGACUAUUGCUGCUCGACUGGAGCUUGCGGGUACACGGCUGCUGGUUCAGUUGCGCGCGGAUGGGACUGAUGCUGCGAACUGGUGACGCUGGAUCUGCGUGCUGCGGCUGUUGCUGCGCGCUGGGGGAUUGCUGGUUGCGCGCUGGUGAUGCUGGUUGCGUGCGGGAUGCUGCGCGCUACUGGGGCUGGUUCUGCUGCGCUAGUGGGUUGCUGGAUCUGCGCGCUGGGGUUGAUUGCACGUGAGAGCUGGGCUGACGUUGGUUCUGCGCGCUGCUAGGCAAAGGCUGGAUCUGCGCUCGCGGGUUGCUGCGUGGCUGCUUGGUGAAGGCUGAAUAUGCGCACGCGUGGGAUGGAGCUAGCUGCGCGCACAGUUGCUACUACUGCUGCGUGGGCUGGUUCGCGAUGGUGGAUCGCUGGUGCUGCGUGGCUGCUCGGUGAAGGCUGGAGAAGAAAACCAAUUAUGUGAAUUAGGGAUUUUGUGAACAGUAAAUUUUUUUUUUUUCGUUUUUUUUUUCAAAUAAAAAAAAUAUAUAUAUAUAAAAGAAAGAAAAGAAAGGAAAAGAAAAAAAAAGUUUUUUUUUUUAAUUUUCAAAUAAAUAAAUAAUUUUUUUUUUAUGAUGAACCACUUUGAGACACAAAAAAAAAAAAAAAAUUUCAGAAGUACUUUUCUAAUAAGCACGUGGGCACGCCUUAAAACCAUUUUACUUUAAAAAUGACAGAAGUACUUAUUAGUUAAGACGUGGGCACGCCUUAAAACCAUUUUACUUUAAAAAUCACAGAAGUACUUAUUAGUUAAGACGUGGGCACGCCUUAUCAAAAAUUUUCUUCUGACCAAAAUAAGCAAACACAUUAUUUUUUUUUAAAAUCUGAAUCAAAAUUAAAAGAAGAUACAACAAAAACCGAAAUAAAUAAAUCAUUUGGGUUGCCUCCCAAAAAGCGCCUUUGUUUUAUGUCUUUGGCUAGACACAUUUAUGCAUCAAUCUCCAUAAUUGGGACUCUCGAGAGCCACAUCCUCCACAAUAUUCACCGAAAAACCUUCAUAAAAAGGUUUUAAGCGAUGACCAUUAACCUUAAAAACUUUGUCAGAUGUCAGACUUCGAAUCUCAACUGCACCAUGAGAAAAAACAUUAGUAACAAUAAAAGGUCCAACCCAGCAAGAACGUAAUUUACCUGGAAAAAGUUUAAGUUUAGAAUGAAAAAGAAGAACUUUUUGACCAACAGAGAACUCCUUUCUCAAAAUCAUUCUAUCAUGAAAUGUCUUCGUCUUUUUCUUGUAAAAAAACUUCCUGCACUAUAGAGUUAAUAACAUCUACAGAGAAUACUGAAUGUUCAUCACUAUGAUAUUUCAUGGCAUCAUUCAUAUUGAAUUCUAUAACCUCUCCAUCAAACUCCAUAGUGAGAGUCCCUUUAUGUACAUCCAUUUUAGUCCUAGCAGUCUUAAGAAAAGGUCUUCCUAGCAAAAUUGGGACACAAGCUCAUCUUCUACAUACUUUGUCACUUUCUUACUAGGCUCUUGCAACUCUUUCCCACUUCUAAGGAUGACAGCACUAACGUUUUGCUUUGGAUUCACAUCAGAUUGUGAAGGCAAUCUCCCUAAUACUUGAGACUCCAGACGGCUCACUGUAGUUGCCAAUUGACUCAUUUGGUUCUCCAAGUUCUGAAUGCUUGCUGUAGUUGCCUGUUGAAAUUGUUGUGUGUUAGUCGCAAGUGAUUUAACAAUUUCUUCGAGAGAUAUACCUGACUUGGAGUUUGACUGUGGAGGUGCUGGUUGUCUUGGUGGAUACUGUUGUGGGAAUCUUGACUGCCUAACUCCAUAGCUAAAGUUGGGAUGAUCCUUCCAUCCUGGAUUGUAUGUUUGUGCAUAAGGAUCAUACCUCCUCUGAGGCAUGCCUGGAAAUCCUCCAACUGCAUUGGCUUGUUCAACGGGUUCUUCUUGAAGUGUAGGACACAUAUCAGUUGAAUGACCCAUAUUGUAACAAAUGCCACAAGUCUUCACCUGUUGCACAUUACCUACAACAAACUUUUCCACAAGAGAAGUAAGUUUAUCUAAACGUUGUUCAACAGAAGAAAUAUUUACCUCAUUCACAUUCCUUAAGGUGGCAUCUUGUCUGCUGCCAAAUUGUUGUGCGUUGGCAGCCAUAUUUGAAACAUGAUUCCAAUUAAAUUAAUCUUUUUAUAAGAUGACUAAUAAAAGACAAAAGUAGAAGCUUUGAUGAAUGAACGAUGACCAAAACUUUUGUAAAAGCGGAUGCCGAUAAAAUAAACAAAAGGCACUUUAAAAAGAAACUAAAGUGCGAUCAUCAAAGUAAGAUCAAUAAUGACUCGAUUUAUUUCACCUAUUCUGUCCACAAAUGAUGCUUCGCUAUUACAAGGUCCGAAUGGACAUUAUUUACAAAUUGUUCUUAUGUUUCACAGAAAAAUGAAAAACCGUUCAUCAUCAUAUAAUUAUGAAAUAAAUAAAUUUUAUUAAUGGAUUAUGGGGAUAUGUUAAUGUUAGGGAUAUGUUCAAAUCAUCAUAUAAGUUACUAAACGCUUCAACAAGAACAAGAAUUAAUGAGUUAAAAGUAAAAAAAAAAAAUUUUAAAAAAAGUUAAAUAAAUAAAACUUAGAAGUAAAGAAUGUUAUUUGCAAUCACCAAAAUGAAAACAGUGGAACCCUGUUUUUCCUCUCAUUUCUCUUUCUCUCUUUUUCAUUUGUUGGGAAGUGUCGCCUAAAACACUUCCUCUGCUAGGUGGAAUUAUUGGCUUGAAGAGAUGAGUUCUUGUCACAAGCACAAAUUUUAUCUGUACAUUAUUUCAUUUUAAAUGAUGAGUUCUUGUCACAUGAUCAUUACUUUUUUUGUUUUGAUUUGGUUAGUUCAUGAUAACAAACAAAUUAUUUUGCAUCACAUUAUGGUAAAAAGUUGCCCUCUUUGUUACUUCCACAGCUAUAUAGUUUAAUAUUUUGUAAUAAGAUCACAAAGUGCAUGGGAACCACUGUUCGAGUACUUCAGCCUAAUAUGAAGAUCUAUUGAAAAUUUUCCUGAUGUCAUGAUAUUAAACAAAAAAAGGUACCUCUUUUACUAAUUAAUAAGAGAAGUUUUGACCGAUUUCAUGUGACUCUCUUUUACUAAUUAAUAAGAGAAUUUUUGGCCUUAUAUCCUUGCUGUGGCGUUAGACUGUUGGUCAUUUUGAUUGUUUCCUACUUUCCGUUUACGCCAGCUGUAACAUUGUAUUAUCACCAUUUUAGCCAUUUAAAUGAAAUUUAUUUUUGUCAAAAAUAAACUGCUGUACCGUACAUCCGCCUUGGCCGUACAGCAGUAUGUCUACGCUGGUUCAAAUCCAGCUCGGCCCAAUAAUUCGCUGAUCCAACAGGAAAUGAUAUAACCCCCUUUGUUUUCCAGAAAUGCCAGAUACGAAAGACUCAAGAAUCAAAAGAGUCCAAUUCUCCGAUACUGCUGUACCGUACAUCCGCCUUGGCCGUACAGCAGAAUAUUAAAUUAAAAGUUAUAUUUAAUAAUAAUUAUUAUUAUUAUUAUAAAGCAAAAGUCAAAAAGCAAAACUCAAAAACAAUUGCAAAAGCUGCUGUACCGUACAUCCGCCUUGGCCGUACAGCAGAUGAAACUCCUUAAGAUGUUUAUGAGGAUCUUCACCUGCAAAACCAUGAAACUUGGGUAAUAAAUGAAUAAGACCAGACUUUAAUUCAAAAUUUACCUCCAAGUCUACAUAUUGAAUGCAGAGUGGUUGUUGAUUCAAGUCUGGUUCAGCUAACUCUCUAAGAGUUCUUUCUACAGGUGCAGGUCUAUCCAUCACUUGUUCUUCUGAAUCGCUAGAUGAUUCAACUAAAUCAGGCACUGUAUCUGUUUCAGAAAGUAAAGGCGACGAGGAUCGUUACUUAGCUCGCUUCGUCUGCUGUCUCAGCUAGCGAGCUGUCUUCUCAAUUUCAGGAUUAAACGAAAGUGUACAUGUACGAGAAGAACGAACCAUACACCAAGUAAAACAUAAAAAGGAUUAAAUAAAUGACACCAAUCCCCAGCAACGGCGCCAAAAUUUGAUGGGUGUCGAAGCCAACAAAAAUAAAUUCCUACUCUAAAUAAAUUGUGUAUAGUGAUUGAGCAGGGUCGUGUCCACAGAGAUCGGUAAUUAAUUAAAUCCUUUUGAAACGUAAAACGUAAAAUGGGGGAAUUGUUGACAAUAAUAAAAAUCAAAUUAAAAAUAACAAGAAUGCAAAUUAAAGUUGUAAUUCAAAUUGGAGAAAGCUCUGGUUGAAGGAAUUAACUCAGCUUGAUUCGACUACUGAUCAUUGAUUAAAAUAUAGAUUAUUAUUACUCAUGAAUAGACCGGUUAUAGCUACUGAGACCCUCUAAUAGCCAAUCUCUCCUUAACUAGUCGAUAACCAAGGUACGACCGUUGGUUAUUUCCCUAAUCAAUAGACAACCCUAGAUACGAUCAUAGAAUUUAAUCAAUUGACAGCCUGAAAAACCAGAGAGACCCAAAUCCUAAUCAACAAACACAUACGAUGGUUCAUUUAAAUUAGAUUGUUUAUUCUCAUAACACAACGCACUGCUAGUUAUUUGUCACAAACAUUAAAAUCUUCAUACAAUGAAUCUUUUAAUUGACAAUAGAUUAAGUUGAUAAUNNNNNNNNNNNNNNNNNNNNNNNNNNNNNNNNNNNNNNNNNNNNNNNNNNNNNNNNNNNNNNNNNNNNNNNNNNNNNNNNNNNNNNNNNNNNNNNNNNNNNNNNNNNNNNNNNNNNNNNNNNNNNNNNNNNNGAAUUUUAAAAAUUAUCCUAAGCAAACCACUGCUGUACGGCCAAGGCGGAUGUACGGUACAGCAAAAUCCCCCCUUUUUCACAAUAGAUUCCUCCCUUAAAUACUCUCUCUCUCUUCUCUUUUAGAAUUCUAUUUAAAAUAAAAUACUAAUAUCUGAAAUAUUAAAUUCGUAAUUACAAAAAUAACCAAAAAUACAAAACACGUUAAACUAAAAACUGCAGGUCCGCAGUUGACAGCACGCGCCCACGCCUUAUCAACAAAAUUCUUCUGCCGCUCAUAAUUUCUCCAAGGGAACAAUCAUCCUUAAACAUCAUCUUAUAGCUCAAUUUUAUCAUCAAUCAAUAGAAUUGCACCUACAAAAGUAAAACAUAAGUAAAUCACUAUUAUUAAGUGCAAAACAUUGAUAUUAAGGGAAGUAAAUAAUGCAAAACUAGUGCAUAAAUUGCACUCUAACACACGGCCACUAAUAUUAUGGCUCUUUUAUGAUCUCUCAAUAGAAAGCUCUUUUCCUAAGUUCUAAUCUCAAAAAGUCUAACCCGUUUACCUUCGUUGGUUACCUUUUUAUAGUCUUCCUUUGAAUCUGGCCCUUCCUGCAAUCCACGUCCAUCACCUCUCUCAACUCUCGGAAGUGGGUGCGUCAUUAUCGUAGUUGUGGCUGAGUGGACUUCGUGCCAUGAUUCUCGAGCAGGAAUGCACGUCUUGCCAACCGUCAUUGACCGGGUCUCCCCCCCUCAACCUCUAGCAGGAAUGGCCUUAUGCUAAAACACAACACCCGAUGAAUACAAUAAUAUUUUCAUAAAGAAAUAAGACAACUCAAUAACAAAAUUAAUUUAAAAUAGAGUAGAAAGAUAAAACCUGAAAAUUUAAUAUGAAAUCACAAACUAAGUUUGAUGAUUGGAGGUUUUAUGACUAUAGAAAAUAUAAAAAAAUAAACUAUUAAUUCUUUUUCUAGUAAUGCAUUUAUGGUAUCAUUGUUUUAGGAGAAAAUAUUGCUAACAGGUAAGUUCGCAAAUGUAGGUUUUUUUUAAAAAAAAAUAGAGGUAGGAAUUAACAAUGUUUUAAUUAAAAUUUAUUAAUUUAACGUUACACAGAAAUUUUAUAGGAAUUAAAACUAUUAAUUCUAGAGAGAAUUUAUUGGAAUUUUGAUAAUUCAUUUAAGAAAAGAUAAUUAUAAAGCAAUAAUAAAUUAAACUAAUCAUGAUUGAGUUAGUUAGAACUUAGAAAUUUAUAUAUUUUUACUAUAAAAUAAUAGAUUUAAAAUAAAUAUAAAGCCUUAAUCUAUAACAGGGUCUUAAUCAAUUGUCUAGUUGUCUAGAGAAAAAGCCACUCCUAUAUAAUUAUAAAGUGCGGAUGCCCACAUUUUUUUUAAUGUGAACACGCUCUUAAACUAUGCGGUUUAAAAGAAUUAAAAAUAAAUUCUCUUAAAUUCCAUAAUUUAACAUCGUGUUUACACAUAAAAAAAAUAAGAGCGCCCGUACUAGAUAAAGAGUCCAAGAGUAAUAUUGUGCGUGUGUAUUGGGGAUAAUUUAAUUAUUGAGAAAUUAAGUCAGAACCAAAAUCUCUAAUUUCGGAAGCUAAUAAUAAUUGGUUAACUGAUUUGAUAGUUAAAGAUUUACAAUUAGUGAAAUGUAACGUUUAUUAAUUAAUUUUUUGAUUUAACAUUUAUUCGAUCAAAGUCAUCUUAUGCUUUAGUUGAUUAUCUGAUCUAAUAUUUGUGUGUGAUAGUUGAUCUAAUCGUACGUGUGUAAUCAGUUGAUGUCGAAGGCAAUACUUGGAUAUAUUAGCUGGAGAUAAGAUCAUCGAUCCUUAUGUCGUUUAGCACGAAAAUGAAGUGCACAGCAUAUCCAAACAUGCUCCUUUUGAUUAGACUUUUCACAUUUUCAUGAUCCUCCGACAUCUAAUCGCAUUGAUUUUAGCUAAAUGAGGUGGCUACUUUUCUUUUUUCUUGUUUCCAAAGAGUGAAGAAGAUUCUGACAAUGCCGCACCCAUCAUAUUAAUUGGUACUUUAAAAACAAAGGCCCUAAGGUAUUUUGACGCUUAAUCCACUAUAUUAAUUAAAAUUUUAUGUUAGUUGGUUAAUUGGAAUUACUAAUUGCAUAUUAUCGAAAAAGAAUUAUCAUAAAGUUUUAACAAUCUUUUAGCUUGUAACAUUUUCAAAAUUAAACUGAAGCAUGUAACACUUACGAACGAGUUCUGAAUUAUGGCAAUUAACAGCUACAAGAGUUGGAGUGAGUUUUGAAGAAUAAACAAAGACUAGGAAAUAAAGUCACGGCAGAGAUCAACAUGUGAUAUUUCGGAGUCUUUCCUGAAAACCUGCAGAAAAAAUAUUGCCCAUAAAUCCAUUAUUUCUGUGAGAAAAUAUUAAAUAUAUGUAGAUGAAUUUAUUAUUAACUCCCUGCCGUGCAUUACUUGCCCCAGUGUUCGCAAUAUUAUAUAAUUCUUUUUUGAUCACCUAUUUCACUAAAUCCUUAUCGUACUUGUAUUGUUUUUCAUUUUUGAUGUUACAAAGAAUAUGAGAGAUUAUUAGUUUCUCCCCAUUAAAAUUAAUAUACACCACUUACUCUUUUAUAGUUUUCGUAACUGUCAAUCAUCCUUUUGAUAGCAUAAUUUUGCAGUUUUUUUUUGUUUGUUUUCAAAUACACUUUUAUUCAUAUUUAUUAUAAAUUAAAUAAAUUGUAUGAAUGGAGAUUAAAAAAAAAUUAAGUACUAAAAAUAAGAAAUCUAUGUUUUGAUGUAAAAAAAUUAAUAAUAAUAUUUUUUUAUACUUUUCAUUAUUUUUAACUAUUUUUCUUAUAAUAAAUAUAUAUUUUAUAUUUCCAAGAUAAAUCAUAAAAUAAACUACCCAUUUAGCCCAUUUUUCCUUUGAAUUUUUUUAUGUUAGGGGAAUGUUUAGAUAUUAUAAAAAUUUUAAAGAACUAUGUGGUAUAUAUUAAUUUGAGCAUGGAAGAAUUUGGCAACUUCCCAAAAAAAUAAUGAAUAACUUUAUAGUGCGUUUACUAAAUGGGAUUAGAAAUCAACUGGAAUCAAAAUGAGCUGGAUUCAAUAUGAGAAAUUGAAAUUAGAAUAAUUUGUUUACUUGAGCUGUAAGAAUCGAAAUUGUAUUGAGCUGUAUUAUCAUCAAUGUUGUUUACUUUAUCUUGGAAUCAGAAUAAAAAUGAAUUAGAUAGUUUCAAAUGACUAAAAUACCCUUAAUCAACUGUUAUCAUAAUUAUUAUUUUGCAUUUUAAUUAUUGUGAUUAUUAUUGUUCAAAAAUAAUAAUAAUGAUAAUUAUUAUUAUUAUUAUUAAUUAUCAUUAAUAACAACAUUAUUAUUAUUAAAAUUAAUAUGUUAACUAAUUGUAAUACAUUUAUCAAUAACAACAACAAUAAUAAUAAAUUUGUAAUUUCUAACAAUCAUUACAAAAUUGUAUUUUAAUUAUUAUGAUUAUUUUUAUUACAAAAUUAUGAUGAUGAUGAUGAUAAAAAGUAUUAUAAUCGAUAUAAUAAUAAUAAUAAUCAUCAUCAUCAUCAUCACUCUUCCAUUUCUCAUUUGCAAAUUGAGGUAGACCCCAUGAUUUUGAUUUUAAUUCCCACCUCUAUUAGACAUAGUAAACGACAUUAAUAAUUUCGAUCCUGAAUUUCGAUUUCCUAAUCUGAUAAGUAUACACAUCAUUAGAGAUGCAGUUGUUUCAAAUAUCAUCCACAUAUCUCUUGAGAAUUAAAAUUCAUUAGAAAUUCAAGAGCAAAAUCUUGGUGAACUCAACAAUAGGUCUAAGAAAAAUCAAAGAGUUGGCUUAAUUAUGACUUAUGAGAGAAGGAUUUUGCUAGCUUACAAACUAUGUAAAAUAUAGCCCCUUAUAUAAUGAGUGAUUGGCCCCGCCAUGGGUGGCUUUAAGUAUAGGCGAACAAAUCGGUCGCCUAAGACCCCAAAUUUUAGAAAGGCUUUAUUUUUUUAGUAUUAGUAAUAAUUCUCUAGUUAGUAAAGAUUUUUUAAAAAAAAAUUAUGUGUGGUAGAAAAGUCUAUUAGACAUCUCUUUAAUUAAUAAUUAUCCUAUAAUUAAUAAUUAUUAUGUUUUAUAUAAAAAAACUAUAAUUAGUUAUCUUAUUGUUAAAGAGAUAUAAUUAAUAAUAUUGUCUAACCAUUAAUUUAUUCAUUAUUAGUUUUUCCAAUAAAAAUAAGUAAAUUUUUUACCUUUUCAACUUCUUAAAAAGAUCAAUUAUUCAACAUUAGAAUUUUUGGCUUUGAGUAUUCCUUUUAAUUUCUAUUAAAAAUCUUAUAAUUUAGAAAAUCAUAGAUGAAAAAUUUCUUGUUCUCUUCUUUACAAUGAAGAUUAUUACAUGAAUUAGUUCAUUCAAAAAAGAAAAAAAAAUAGUUACUUGAAAUACAAAAUCCAUAUCCAUUAUCUAACCACCAAUUUAUGAUCUCAACUUUCUAUGUGCUACUAUUUUAAAUAUUUUAUUUAAAAAUAAUAUUGUUCUCAUUUAUUCGAUUGUUUAUUUUUAUAGAAUUUCUAAUGGUAAAUUUAGAUUUUGUUUUUGAAAAUUUUUAGAAUCUUCUUGAUUAUUUGUUAAAAUUCAAGAACUAAAACAGAAAUAAAUUUUCAGUUUUUUAUUUUAUUUUAUUGAGUAUUGAAGUUGCUAAAUAAAAAGAGGUCUCAUUAAAAAAAAAAAUUCACCUAAGGACAUGAUACUCUAAAGCUGGCCCUGGGCUCCACCUUUAAUUGCUUGUUGGCCCACCUCUAGUUGUUUUAGCUUGGAUGUACCUUACAUAAACUGUAAGGUAGCAAGACCCCGAAAUAUGAUGAGAUAUGUUCUGGUUCUGAAGAGAAGCGUACGUCAUGUAUGACGCAGAUCGAAAUGACAUUGCUUUUUUGCAUUGACGUUGAAUCCAAUUUCAUUAACUGACGUGGGGACUCCAUGCACGUGAUAACCUGAUGGGACACAAUAUUAUUUAACAUUCUUUGCAUCUUUUUCAAUUUAUCAGCAGCCUUCGCUAUCUAUAAAUAGGGCGAAGCUGCAAUGUUCUUGUCACCGCGUCUCAAGUAACAUCACAGUGAUAAAAUCAAGCUCAGUAACUUCUUCGGAAGAGAAAACAAUGGCUUCAUCUAAGAUCACUUUGAUUUUUCUUACUUGUUUUCUCUUUGAUCUUGUUCUUUUGCCAUCUCUUCAGAUGAUCACUCAAGCGAGUAAACCGAUUGGGAGAGAAAAAAAAAGUAAUAAUAUAAUUACAAAUUCUUGUACAAUUUUUUUUUUAUAAACUAAUGUAUCAUGAUUUAAUUGGUUGGAUUAGAUAUCUCUUAGUCCACAUUAUUUUUUUUAAUUAUUUUAUAUUUUUAUUCAACCAAUGAAUUAAAAUUAAAUCAGUUUGUACAAAAUAAGUUUGAAAAAGAAUUUGUGGCUAUAUCACCACUAAAAAAAAAAGAGAAAAAAGAAAAUGAUGCUUUCAUUUUCUUCAUUUCCACGCAUGCAUGAAAUUAUUUGCAUUUUCGCUUUCUAUAGUAUGUGUGCUGUGCGUAUUAAUUUCUAAAUCUGCAUAAUAAGCAUGCAACGUCAUUUGUUAGCUAAUAUUUAUUAGUUACUGCACGCCCACACACUCAUAAAUGAUACAUUCCUACAACAACAGUAGAUUAGAAGUCAUAACAUUCAACAUAUCUACCUUAAUUCAUGUUACGAGUGAAAAUACAAUCUCACAUCAACUUAUAAUAAAUUAUUAUACUAAAAUAUGCAAGUUAGAGGUUAUUCUCAACUCUAGAAAUUGUAUAUGAGUUAGUUUUUGAAUUUCUAUGGAGUAUAUACUAUACAAUAAGAUAUAAUCCUACAUAGUUCAAAGCAAGCAUAAUGCGACUAUUAAAUUAUUUUUAUUAGUCUCACACGUGCACCCGCGCGCACGGGUGUGUGUGUAUAUAGUGAGGAUUUACUUAAUUAUUGUAUUCUCAUAACUACCAAUUAUAUAUGUAAGUAUGUUUGCUCAAAUAAAAAAUCAGAUCGUGAGAAAAUCUUGAUACUAUAUAUGAAUCCUUUCAUGAUCUGAUCAUAUUUGAACUUUGAAGAAUCUUUUGACACAUAUACGCUUUUAUUUAUGUAUGGUCAUGAUUUACGUAAUUACUAUAUUCUCAAUUAUUAACUACCAAUGAUGAAAGUAUGUUUGCUCUGAUGAAAAAUUAGAUCAUUUAUAUUGUUCUCGUUAUGAAGGAAGUCUAGAAUACAUCAAAACUUCAAAAGUAACGCAACUAAUUAAUAUAUAUAUGAUAUGUGUAAUUGAAUUUAAUAUAAUCACCACUUGUAUGGUGGCUUUUCAAAAUAAAUGCACACAUAUCAGAGCAUCAUUUACUUAUUAUAUGAUUAAAAUGAUAUCUUUAAAAUAUUCUAAAAUUUCUCCAUGUAAUCACUGUGAUUUUUAUGUUUUCACUAAUCCAUUUAUUACUAUUAUAUUCUAUUGCAGAGGAAAAUGUGAAUCUCAACGGCAUCGAGGAGGCAAAGUAUGGGGGCUGCGGAUAUGGGUAACCAAACGGAAAUUAUGGAGUCGCGGUGGAUUUGGAGGGUACCCACCACGAAGAGGAUAUUGCCGGCACGGAUGCUGCCGCACCUACCGCUAUUCAAAUGACUGCUACAGUUGCUGCUCCCAUGCUGCCGACAAGCCCGACGCCGAGUUUGAAGAUGAUGAGAACUAAUUAAUAUCCUCUCCAAUAUUUGCUUCAGUUGUACCUUUGGUUUGUGAGCUUUUGUAUUGAAUGAAUAAGGCCAGUGAUGAGUCUGAACUUUUGUGCUCACGUGAAAUGCCAUGUUUGAAUAGAGCUUAAUUAGUUCAUUAUUAGUUUAUUAGGAGCAACUUCUUCUAGUCUUGUUUCAACCAAUCAAAAGCAAGUACUCCCUGGCUCCAAAUCAAAAGACUAUAGGACAGAGUUCAUACAAGCAUUAAACCCAAAUCCGUUGAGCAGUAAUUAUCCCCUCCCAAAAAUAUAUUUUAUACUUUCACCAUAUAUAAAUCUAGAACAUACAUAUAACUAUGUAUAUAACAAUAUCAUAUUAAUUAACAAAGCUAGUAGAAGUAGAAAUAUUGUAUCAAGAAAAUAUAAAAGUUCUUUUAACCUUGAAAAAUUGAGAAAUUUAUUAAAUAAAGGGUAGAGAUACACCUAAUCAAGGGGCAUAAUGAGCCUUGCCCCUUAAGAUGACUAAGAAACUGAUAUACGAAAGUAAAAAAUUAACAGAGAAAGGACUAUGGAGAUAGCUAUCAAAAACAUUAAUGAAGGAAUCCGUUGGGAUUAUUAAACAACACGUGAUUUAUAUCCCAAGAAAGAUGGUCAAGCCAAGUAAAAUCAGAAAAAUCCACAGUCAAAUUAACUAGACAGUCAACAAUACUAUCAGCUUCCCAAUUAAGUGUGAGAAACCCAAUAAUGUAUUCUUUCAACAAAUGACAGUAGUUCAGCCACAUAUUACUGAUGGUAUAAGGAGGAAGCAAAGAUAUAUUGUUGAACAAGUACAAGUAAUAAAGGAAACAGACAACUCAAUGCAACCAAUGCACAGAUUGAUUAACAAGAUCAUGCGCAAAGAAUGAUGAUCAACAGGAAAUUAAUCAAGAAAUUAACCUAUCUCUAUGUACAAGAAACAUAAAAGAUAUAAAAAACACAAAAGGGUUUAAUUAGUGUUUAAGCCAAGAACUUGGCUUACUUCCACCAAGGAACAAUCAAUACUACUUUAUUAAUGAAUCAGUUGUUUGUUUACGGAGAAUUACGAAGAAGGAAUACAUCUGGAGCCCCUGAUUAUGGUCUCAGCUACUUUAUUUUGUGCUAAGCAUUUGAAAAAAGCCCGCAAUUUCUGCCGCUAUGUAGUUGUUGUAACAGCUUUGUUAAUGUAACCAAACCAGCACUUAAUUUGGAGCCAAAACUAAUAGCAGUUAACGCUCAUUUGACUGGCGUUUGACUAAUCUAAGUCAAGCGUGUGGCCCAUCAUAGUUAAUUACACACAAAACGCAGUCGUUUUCAUAUUCACACAGAUUCCACAAUUUAUUAUUAUACGUACAUUCAUGCGAAGGUUCAUAUAUAUAUAUAUAAACGCAUAACAAACUUAAUUGAAUUUUAUUUAUUAAUAUAGCUGCCGCUAUGAAUCUCGUAAGUCGUGCCUACACUGUUCUUCAAAGAAGCGUAGAAUCGAAAUGAAAUUUGAAGCUGUAUUUUUAAUUCAACCUUUGACUUUAUUGGGCAAUUCCUAUUGAUAUAUUGGAUUAUGUAGAGAACAUGAUGAGCCCACCGAUUUUCAAAAGUAAUUGAAUCGCCACACCAGCAAAUUACACAAAUAUGCAUGCACGCCCACCGACUCGAAUUUUUCUGCGAACCUACUACUUCUCACUUCUCAGGCGAUCGAUUCAAAAACCCAUGGCAAAAUUUUGAAACGACCUUUCAAGUUUGCACCUAUAAAUACAAACAACACCCAACUUAUGUUUCAACAAGAUCAAAAACUUCAGACCCUCUGACUUUACAUAUUACUAUAAAGCAAAAGAAGGCAGCAUAUAUAAGAGCAAAAUGAGUGUGGAAGUGUUAGAUAGUGCCACAAUUGUAAGCUUUGUGGAAGAUGAAGAAGCAUUCAACAACUCGAUACGAAACCGUUUUGCCCAUCUUGAUACAGAUCAUGAUGGUCUCCUUUCUUAUGCAGAAAUGAUGCAGGAGCUCAAGAGUCUGAGGGUCUUUGAGACCCAUUUUGGCAUCGACGAGAAACCAGACCCAGAAGAGCUUGCUAGUGUUUACAACUCUCUGUUUGUCCAAUUCGAUCAUGACUCAAAUGGCACGGUGGAUUUGGAGGAGUUCAAGGCAGAGACCAAGCAAAUGAUGCUUGCCGUGGCCAAUGGUCUCGGUUUCUUGCCUGUGCAAAUGGUUCUGGAAGAGGAUAGCAUCCUGAAGAAGGUUGUGGAGAAGGAAUCAACUGCCAAAGUGGUAGUUUAAAUUGCUUGUUCUGACUUCUGACUGAAUUAAUUGUUUGUUUUGUUUUCGUUUUUCACUUUUCUGCUGUACGGCCAAGGCGGAUGUACGGUACAGCAGCUCUUGAGAAUUAAAAUUCAUUAGAAAUUCAAGAGCAAAAUCUUGGUGAACUCAACAAUAGGUCUAAGAAAAAUCAAAGAGUUGGCUUAAUUAUGACUUAUGAGAGAAGGAUUUUGCUAGCUUACAAACUAUGUAAAAUAUAGCCCCUUAUAUAAUGAGUGAUUGGCCCCGCCAUGGGUGGCUUUAAGUAUAGGCGAACAAAUCGGUCGCCUAAGACCCCAAAUUUUAGAAAGGCUUUAUUUUUUUAGUAUUAGUAAUAAUUCUCUAGUUAGUAAAGAUUUUUUAAAAAAAAAUUAUGUGUGGUAGAAAAGUCUAUUAGACAUCUCUUUAAUUAAUAAUUAUCCUAUAAUUAAUAAUUAUUAUGUUUUAUAUAAAAAAACUAUAAUUAGUUAUCUUAUUGUUAAAGAGAUAUAAUUAAUAAUAUUGUCUAACCAUUAAUUUAUUCAUUAUUAGUUUUUCCAAUAAAAAUAAGUAAAUUUUUUACCUUUUCAACUUCUUAAAAAGAUCAAUUAUUCAACAUUAGAAUUUUUGGCUUUGAGUAUUCCUUUUAAUUUCUAUUAAAAAUCUUAUAAUUUAGAAAAUCAUAGAUGAAAAAUUUCUUGUUCUCUUCUUUACAAUGAAGAUUAUUACAUGAAUUAGUUCAUUCAAAAAAGAAAAAAAAAUAGUUACUUGAAAUACAAAAUCCAUAUCCAUUAUCUAACCACCAAUUUAUGAUCUCAACUUUCUAUGUGCUACUAUUUUAAAUAUUUUAUUUAAAAAUAAUAUUGUUCUCAUUUAUUCGAUUGUUUAUUUUUAUAGAAUUUCUAAUGGUAAAUUUAGAUUUUGUUUUUGAAAAUUUUUAGAAUCUUCUUGAUUAUUUGUUAAAAUUCAAGAACUAAAACAGAAAUAAAUUUUCAGUUUUUUAUUUUAUUUUAUUGAGUAUUGAAGUUGCUAAAUAAAAAGAGGUCUCAUUAAAAAAAAAAAUUCACCUAAGGACAUGAUACUCUAAAGCUGGCCCUGGGCUCCACCUUUAAUUGCUUGUUGGCCCACCUCUAGUUGUUUUAGCUUGGAUGUACCUUACAUAAACUGUAAGGUAGCAAGACCCCGAAAUAUGAUGAGAUAUGUUCUGGUUCUGAAGAGAAGCGUACGUCAUGUAUGACGCAGAUCGAAAUGACAUUGCUUUUUUGCAUUGACGUUGAAUCCAAUUUCAUUAACUGACGUGGGGACUCCAUGCACGUGAUAACCUCAUGGGACACAAUAUUAUUUAACAUUCUUUUCAAGUAACAUCACAGUGAUAAAAUCAAGCUCAGUAACUUCUUCGGAAGAGAAAACAAUGGCUUCAUCUAAGAUCACUUUGAUUUUUCUUACUUGUUUUCUCUUUGAUCUUGUUCUUUUGCCAUCUCUUCAGAUGAUCACUCAAGCGAGUAAACCGAUUGGGAGAGAAAAAAAAAGUAAUAAUAUAAUUACAAAUUCUUGUACAAUUUUUUUUUUAUAAACUAAUGUAUCAUGAUUUAAUUGGUUGGAUUAGAUAUCUCUUAGUCCACAUUAUUUUUUUUAAUUAUUUUAUAUUUUUAUUCAACCAAUGAAUUAAAAUUAAAUCAGUUUGUACAAAAUAAGUUUGAAAAAGAAUUUGUGGCUAUAUCACCACUAAAAAAAAAAGAGAAAAAAGAAAAUGAUGCUUUCAUUUUCUUCAUUUCCACGCAUGCAUGAAAUUAUUUGCAUUUUCGCUUUCUAUAGUAUGUGUGCUGUGCGUAUUAAUUUCUAAAUCUGCAUAAUAAGCAUGCAACGUCAUUUGUUAGCUAAUAUUUAUUAGUUACUGCACGCCCACACACUCAUAAAUGAUACAUUCCUACAACAACAGUAGAUUAGAAGUCAUAACAUUCAACAUAUCUACCUUAAUUCAUGUUACGAGUGAAAAUACAAUCUCACAUCAACUUAUAAUAAAUUAUUAUACUAAAAUAUGCAAGUUAGAGGUUAUUCUCAACUCUAGAAAUUGUAUAUGAGUUAGUUUUUGAAUUUCUAUGGAGUAUAUACUAUACAAUAAGAUAUAAUCCUACAUAGUUCAAAGCAAGCAUAAUGCGACUAUUAAAUUAUUUUUAUUAGUCUCACACGUGCACCCGCGCGCACGGGUGUGUGUGUAUAUAGUGAGGAUUUACUUAAUUAUUGUAUUCUCAUAACUACCAAUUAUAUAUGUAAGUAUGUUUGCUCAAAUAAAAAAUCAGAUCGUGAGAAAAUCUUGAUACUAUAUAUGAAUCCUUUCAUGAUCUGAUCAUAUUUGAACUUUGAAGAAUCUUUUGACACAUAUACGCUUUUAUUUAUGUAUGGUCAUGAUUUACGUAAUUACUAUAUUCUCAAUUAUUAACUACCAAUGAUGAAAGUAUGUUUGCUCUGAUGAAAAAUUAGAUCAUUUAUAUUGUUCUCGUUAUGAAGGAAGUCUAGAAUACAUCAAAACUUCAAAAGUAACGCAACUAAUUAAUAUAUAUAUGAUAUGUGUAAUUGAAUUUAAUAUAAUCACCACUUGUAUGGUGGCUUUUCAAAAUAAAUGCACACAUAUCAGAGCAUCAUUUACUUAUUAUAUGAUUAAAAUGAUAUCUUUAAAAUAUUCUAAAAUUUCUCCAUGUAAUCACUGUGAUUUUUAUGUUUUCACUAAUCCAUUUAUUACUAUUAUAUUCUAUUGCAGAGGAAAAUGUGAAUCUCAACGGCAUCGAGGAGGCAAAGUAUGGGGGCUGCGGAUAUGGGUAACCAAACGGAAAUUAUGGAGUCGCGGUGGAUUUGGAGGGUACCCACCACGAAGAGGAUAUUGCCGGCACGGAUGCUGCCGCACCUACCGCUAUUCAAAUGACUGCUACAGUUGCUGCUCCCAUGCUGCCGACAAGCCCGACGCCGAGUUUGAAGAUGAUGAGAACUAAUUAAUAUCCUCUCCAAUAUUUGCUUCAGUUGUACCUUUGGUUUGUGAGCUUUUGUAUUGAAUGAAUAAGGCCAGUGAUGAGUCUGAACUUUUGUGCUCACGUGAAAUGCCAUGUUUGAAUAGAGCUUAAUUAGUUCAUUAUUAGUUUAUUAGGAGCAACUUCUUCUAGUCUUGUUUCAACCAAUCAAAAGCAAGUACUCCCUGGCUCCAAAUCAAAAGACUAUAGGACAGAGUUCAUACAAGCAUUAAACCCAAAUCCGUUGAGCAGUAAUUAUCCCCUCCCAAAAAUAUAUUUUAUACUUUCACCAUAUAUAAAUCUAGAACAUACAUAUAACUAUGUAUAUAACAAUAUCAUAUUAAUUAACAAAGCUAGUAGAAGUAGAAAUAUUGUAUCAAGAAAAUAUAAAAGUUCUUUUAACCUUGAAAAAUUGAGAAAUUUAUUAAAUAAAGGGUAGAGAUACACCUAAUCAAGGGGCAUAAUGAGCCUUGCCCCUUAAGAUGACUAAGAAACUGAUAUACGAAAGUAAAAAAUUAACAGAGAAAGGACUAUGGAGAUAGCUAUCAAAAACAUUAAUGAAGGAAUCCGUUGGGAUUAUUAAACAACACGUGAUUUAUAUCCCAAGAAAGAUGGUCAAGCCAAGUAAAAUCAGAAAAAUCCACAGUCAAAUUAACUAGACAGUCAACAAUACUAUCAGCUUCCCAAUUAAGUGUGAGAAACCCAAUAAUGUAUUCUUUCAACAAAUGACAGUAGUUCAGCCACAUAUUACUGAUGGUAUAAGGAGGAAGCAAAGAUAUAUUGUUGAACAAGUACAAGUAAUAAAGGAAACAGACAACUCAAUGCAACCAAUGCACAGAUUGAUUAACAAGAUCAUGCGCAAAGAAUGAUGAUCAACAGGAAAUUAAUCAAGAAAUUAACCUAUCUCUAUGUACAAGAAACAUAAAAGAUAUAAAAAACACAAAAGGGUUUAAUUAGUGUUUAAGCCAAGAACUUGGCUUACUUCCACCAAGGAACAAUCAAUACUACUUUAUUAAUGAAUCAGUUGUUUGUUUACGGAGAAUUACGAAGAAGGAAUACAUCUGGAGCCCCUGAUUAUGGUCUCAGCUACUUUAUUUUGUGCUAAGCAUUUGAAAAAAGCCCGCAAUUUCUGCCGCUAUGUAGUUGUUGUAACAGCUUUGUUAAUGUAACCAAACCAGCACUUAAUUUGGAGCCAAAACUAAUAGCAGUUAACGCUCAUUUGACUGGCGUUUGACUAAUCUAAGUCAAGCGUGUGGCCCAUCAUAGUUAAUUACACACAAAACGCAGUCGUUUUCAUAUUCACACAGAUUCCACAAUUUAUUAUUAUACGUACAUUCAUGCGAAGGUUCAUAUAUAUAUAUAUAAACGCAUAACAAACUUAAUUGAAUUUUAUUUAUUAAUAUAGCUGCCGCUAUGAAUCUCGUAAGUCGUGCCUACACUGUUCUUCAAAGAAGCGUAGAAUCGAAAUGAAAUUUGAAGCUGUAUUUUUAAUUCAACCUUUGACUUUAUUGGGCAAUUCCUAUUGAUAUAUUGGAUUAUGUAGAGAACAUGAUGAGCCCACCGAUUUUCAAAAGUAAUUGAAUCGCCACACCAGCAAAUUACACAAAUAUGCAUGCACGCCCACCGACUCGAAUUUUUCUGCGAACCUACUACUUCUCACUUCUCAGGCGAUCGAUUCAAAAACCCAUGGCAAAAUUUUGAAACGACCUUUCAAGUUUGCACCUAUAAAUACAAACAACACCCAACUUAUGUUUCAACAAGAUCAAAAACUUCAGACCCUCUGACUUUACAUAUUACUAUAAAGCAAAAGAAGGCAGCAUAUAUAAGAGCAAAAUGAGUGUGGAAGUGUUAGAUAGUGCCACAAUUGUAAGCUUUGUGGAAGAUGAAGAAGCAUUCAACAACUCGAUACGAAACCGUUUUGCCCAUCUUGAUACAGAUCAUGAUGGUCUCCUUUCUUAUGCAGAAAUGAUGCAGGAGCUCAAGAGUCUGAGGGUCUUUGAGACCCAUUUUGGCAUCGACGAGAAACCAGACCCAGAAGAGCUUGCUAGUGUUUACAACUCUCUGUUUGUCCAAUUCGAUCAUGACUCAAAUGGCACGGUGGAUUUGGAGGAGUUCAAGGCAGAGACCAAGCAAAUGAUGCUUGCCGUGGCCAAUGGUCUCGGUUUCUUGCCUGUGCAAAUGGUUCUGGAAGAGGAUAGCAUCCUGAAGAAGGUUGUGGAGAAGGAAUCAACUGCCAAAGUGGUAGUUUAAAUUGCUUGUUCUGACUUCUGACUGAAUUAAUUGUUUGUUUUGUUUUCGUUUUUCACUUUUCUGCUGUACGGCCAAGGCGGAUGUACGGUACAGCAGCUCUUGAGAAUUAAAAUUCAUUAGAAAUUCAAGAGCAAAAUCUUGGUGAACUCAACAAUAGGUCUAAGAAAAAUCAAAGAGUUGGCUUAAUUAUGACUUAUGAGAGAAGGAUUUUGCUAGCUUACAAACUAUGUAAAAUAUAGCCCCUUAUAUAAUGAGUGAUUGGCCCCGCCAUGGGUGGCUUUAAGUAUAGGCGAACAAAUCGGUCGCCUAAGACCCCAAAUUUUAGAAAGGCUUUAUUUUUUUAGUAUUAGUAAUAAUUCUCUAGUUAGUAAAGAUUUUUUAAAAAAAAAUUAUGUGUGGUAGAAAAGUCUAUUAGACAUCUCUUUAAUUAAUAAUUAUCCUAUAAUUAAUAAUUAUUAUGUUUUAUAUAAAAAAACUAUAAUUAGUUAUCUUAUUGUUAAAGAGAUAUAAUUAAUAAUAUUGUCUAACCAUUAAUUUAUUCAUUAUUAGUUUUUCCAAUAAAAAUAAGUAAAUUUUUUACCUUUUCAACUUCUUAAAAAGAUCAAUUAUUCAACAUUAGAAUUUUUGGCUUUGAGUAUUCCUUUUAAUUUCUAUUAAAAAUCUUAUAAUUUAGAAAAUCAUAGAUGAAAAAUUUCUUGUUCUCUUCUUUACAAUGAAGAUUAUUACAUGAAUUAGUUCAUUCAAAAAAGAAAAAAAAAUAGUUACUUGAAAUACAAAAUCCAUAUCCAUUAUCUAACCACCAAUUUAUGAUCUCAACUUUCUAUGUGCUACUAUUUUAAAUAUUUUAUUUAAAAAUAAUAUUGUUCUCAUUUAUUCGAUUGUUUAUUUUUAUAGAAUUUCUAAUGGUAAAUUUAGAUUUUGUUUUUGAAAAUUUUUAGAAUCUUCUUGAUUAUUUGUUAAAAUUCAAGAACUAAAACAGAAAUAAAUUUUCAGUUUUUUAUUUUAUUUUAUUGAGUAUUGAAGUUGCUAAAUAAAAAGAGGUCUCAUUAAAAAAAAAAAUUCACCUAAGGACAUGAUACUCUAAAGCUGGCCCUGGGCUCCACCUUUAAUUGCUUGUUGGCCCACCUCUAGUUGUUUUAGCUUGGAUGUACCUUACAUAAACUGUAAGGUAGCAAGACCCCGAAAUAUGAUGAGAUAUGUUCUGGUUCUGAAGAGAAGCGUACGUCAUGUAUGACGCAGAUCGAAAUGACAUUGCUUUUUUGCAUUGACGUUGAAUCCAAUUUCAUUAACUGACGUGGGGACUCCAUGCACGUGAUAACCUCAUGGGACACAAUAUUAUUUAACAUUCUUUUCAAGUAACAUCACAGUGAUAAAAUCAAGCUCAGUAACUUCUUCGGAAGAGAAAACAAUGGCUUCAUCUAAGAUCACUUUGAUUUUUCUUACUUGUUUUCUCUUUGAUCUUGUUCUUUUGCCAUCUCUUCAGAUGAUCACUCAAGCGAGUAAACCGAUUGGGAGAGAAAAAAAAAGUAAUAAUAUAAUUACAAAUUCUUGUACAAUUUUUUUUUUAUAAACUAAUGUAUCAUGAUUUAAUUGGUUGGAUUAGAUAUCUCUUAGUCCACAUUAUUUUUUUUAAUUAUUUUAUAUUUUUAUUCAACCAAUGAAUUAAAAUUAAAUCAGUUUGUACAAAAUAAGUUUGAAAAAGAAUUUGUGGCUAUAUCACCACUAAAAAAAAAAGAGAAAAAAGAAAAUGAUGCUUUCAUUUUCUUCAUUUCCACGCAUGCAUGAAAUUAUUUGCAUUUUCGCUUUCUUUAUUCUGCUGUACCGUACAUCCGCCUUGGCCGUACAGCAGGUAAUAAUUGUCAUUAAAUAAUAAUGAUAAUGGUAAUAAUAUUUAUAAAAAAAAUAUUUACUCUUUAUUUUCUUAGUGAAUAAAUGCAUAAUUGUAACUAAUGACAUUUUAAUAAUUUUAUAAUCUAUUUUUAUCACAAGACAAAAUAAAUAUAUCAACGAAAAUAUAACUCAUGCCAAUUGUAAUUUUAAUAACUCAAGUAAAUAAUUUAUUCUAAUUUCCAUUCCUUCGGUUGUUAUCCAUUUUGAUUCCGAAUCAUUCCAAUUUCUAUUCAUAAAUAGCAUACAAACGGAGGGCACAGUCAGUUCCAUAAUACUUCAAUUAGACUAAAUUUUAGUAGGAGUAUUUUGCAAGUAAUAUUUUUAAAAUUUUUAUCUCUUGUGAUGCGGUUCUCACAUCUGAUUUGUAUAAGAUGACGAUGAUAGUUUAAUAAGUAAAUUUUAAUUUUUUGAUAUAUUUUGCCAAAGUUUUGAAACCUAUCUUUUAAAAAAAAUAAUUAAUCAAAGUAGCAUUGUUGGUCUGUCAAUUAAGCAACUUUAUUUUCGCUUAUUAAGCUUUGCCUAAGCUGUUGGGAAAAGAAAAAGAAAAAGAAAAAGAAAGUGUAUCUAGGCCGUAUCAUUUCAAUCCAAUCAUUGACAAGGGCUUCCAUUUCCAGGCAUGGAUAAACUUUUGUCGAAUAUCUUAAGAGUCUAAGCAAAGCUUUAGUUUCCAUUCCUAUCAAGCAAACCAGUGCCUAAUUGCCGCAUAAAUAGACAAAUUUAGUUAUCAUUUUCAGAUCCAAUAAUUAAUGAUAGACAAAGCCAUUGUAACUUUUUAAAAUGAUGAAUUAAAGCUCUAAAAAUGUACUCAUUUAUUCAUAAAUACUUCUUUUAUAUAAAAGAAGUAUUUUUUUUGUGAACAAGCAGCUUACAUUGCACUUACAAAACAAAGAAAAAAGGAAAAACAGAAUGAAGCUUACAUCGCAUAAAUGUAAGCAAGAUUAUUUAUUUAUUGAGAUACAGAUACAAAUUUAUUAUGGAGCUUCAGUUUUGAGGCUCGGUUUCAGGCUCCGUAUCAACAGCCUCACCAGCGUAAGUGCAGCACCUGCAGCCUCCAUGAUAACCAUGUCCACAGCAACCGUAGCGGCAGUGGCCACCGCCAUGGCCCCCACCACCGCCAUAGCCCCCACCACCGCCAUAG
rnacentral:lncRNA from 1 species